CUUAAGCCAUGCAUGUCUCCGAACAAUAGUAGCUUGAUCUAGAAUCUGCGAACGGCUCCGUAUAUCUGUUAUAACCUAACGCCGGCCAGCAACAACCGGCUUAAUAACCACGGUAAUUCUGUGGCUAAUACGUGUUACAAGCCAGGGACGCCGAGCGCAAGCGAGGCGUCCCCGGUCUUGCCGCGCAACCAACGGCGGUGGCAACACCCCCUGCGGGAGUGCAGGCAAGGGCACCUGACCGUGGUCAAUAGCCGCGGCUCGCGCGAUAGGCGCCAGACCUAUCAACUAGGAUGCCCAGGGAUCGCCUGGGCAUGGUUAUAACGGGUACAGAGGAUCAGGGUUCGAUCCUGGAGAGGUAGCCUGAGAGAUCGCUACUACUUCUAAGGAAGGCAGCAGGCGCGCAACGUUCCCAAUGGGGAAGCCCUGAGGACGUCAGGGGGCAUAUCAAUGCCCGGCCGAUAAGGCCGGGCAAUUGAAAUGGGGGACCUCUAAACCCCACACCGAGUAACAAUUGGAGGACAAGUCUGGUGCCAGCACCCGCGGUAAUUCCAGCUCCGAUAGCAUCUUGUUAAGUUGUUGCAGUUAAAACGCUCGUAGUCAAAGUUGGUGCGUCUCCUGGGCUCCCAGUACUGCGGUGCGCUCGUCGGCGCUGUCCCCUCACGGGGGCGCGCCGGCCGGGCCCCGUGGGGCCGUUGCCCGGGGGGCCACUAUCUCGCAGGGACCGUGUGGCGGGCGGCGCUUCAGUGUUCCGCCUGCCCGCCCCCAGCACUAUACUUUGAACAAACGUGCAUGCUCAAUCUAGGCCGCAUUCUGGCCCUUGAAACCCGCAGCAAAGAAUAAGGGAACAGGCACCCGCCUGGGCGUUGGUACGGGCAGGGUAAAUGAUCUAUUGGGGCGAUCGGGGCAGGCCACAUGGCGGGGGUAGGGGUGAAAUCCGUUGAUCCUCGCCAGGUGAACUAACGCGAAAGCAGCCUGCAAGUACGCUUUCUUAGAUCAAGAACGAAAGUCUGGGGAUCGAAGAUGAUCAGAUACCAUCGUAGUCCAGACCCUAAAUGAUGCCGGCCAUGGAUGGGCCCUCGUCCAUCCCGACCCGCCCCGCACUUCUUGGGAAACCAUUAAGCGUUUGGGCUCCGGGGGGAGUAUGGUCGCAAGACUGAAACUUAAAGGAAUUGACGGAAGAGCACACAAGGAGUGGAGCCUGCGGCUUAACUGCUAGGUCGCAAAAGUCGGCUGUGGGAAUGUGGCACUCUUUAUCUUACCCACACGCCCACAGCUGGCUAGUCGAGCACCCAGACAGGAUGAGAGGGUGCCGGCAAGACAACCUGGUACGGUGGAACCCCCGCCUUGAUGACGCUCGGGCUGGCCCCCAAGCUGAGAGAUUGGGGCAAUACCGUGGCGAGCUACCUGGGAGCGAUCCUGGGCCGGCCGUCGUAACGCGCGGAAAGGUGUCGGCAGGCUCGCAGGAGGCUGCUUAAGGGACGUGCUACUCCCCCCGCAAGGGUGCCCCCAUGUAAGCUCUUAUCCAGCUGAAGUGGGGGGGCUGGAUCCCGGCCACAAAUGGCCGGGGGAGGCUGGUAUCAAGGUAAUUUGACUCAACACGGGGAAACUCACUAGGGCAAGAGGGGGGUAGGAUGGACAGCCGAUCAGGGCUUUCCUGAUUCCCCCAGUGGUGGUGCAUGGUCGUUCUUAGUUCGUGGAUUGAUUUGUCUGGUCUAUUCCGCUAACGAGCGAGAACCCCCCCUCUCGAGGUUAGGCGAGCGGGCAUGCUGGCGCCGCCUCGGCGGCGCCGGCUGGAAACGCCCGUGAGCGCGAGCCGGAGGGACCGUCUUCGACAAGGAGACGGCAGUGGGUCAAUAACAGGUCAGUGAUGCCCUUAGAUGCUCUAGGCCGCACGCGCGCUACAAUGCGGCGACUAACGGGCUCCCCGUGCCUAACGGCGUCGGGGAAUCCGCGAACGCGCCGCGUAUCCGGGACAGCGCCGUGUAACUCGGCGCUCAAACAAGGAAUUUCUAGUAGUCAUG
rnacentral:rRNA from 1 species